GACCUCGUGGUGCAAUGGUAGCAUGUCCGACUUCAGAUCAGAAGAUUGCGUGUUCAAAUCUCGUCGUGGUCG
rnacentral:tRNA from 1 species